rnacentral:rRNA from 1 species
AGAAUGAACGCUGGCGGCGUGCUUUACACAUGCAAGUCGAGCGAGGCGGGGAGCAAUCCCCAGUCGAGCGGCGAACGGGUGAGUAACGCGUGGAUGACCUGCCCUACAGUGGGGAAUAACCCGGGGAAACUCGGGCUAAUACCGCAUACGACCGAGAGGUGAAAGGGGGCACGCAAGUGCUCUCGCUGGAGGAGGGUCCGCGUUCGAUUAGCUAGUUGGUAGGGUAAUGGCCUACCAAGGCGACGAUCCGAUAGCCGGCCUGAGAGGGUGACUCGGCCACACUGGAACUGAGACACGGUCCAGACUCCGUACGGAGGCAGCAGUGGGGAAUUUGCGC